AAGACUAUACUUUCAGGGAUCAUUUCUACAGUUUGUUACUAGAGAAGUUUCUCUGAACAUGUGGAACACCUGAAACCACAAGGAGGAGGUGCAGUGUUCUCUCCUGAGUGUGAAGCUGGCUUUUGGUGUUACUUUUGCAAUGCUAUUGCCCAUUGAUGACUGUUCUUCUCUUCCUUUGGGAGAGCAUGGGGUUGGAGAGUU
rnacentral:snoRNA from 1 species